rnacentral:lncRNA from 10 species
CUCAUUUUUCUACUGCUCGUGGAUUUACGCGCACGUUGGAACCGAAGAGAGCUCUGUUGUUGCACCCACAAGAGCUUACUGGUGAAGGAAUGGGACAAGACCCAUCUUUAUGCAAAGCCAGCGUUACAGUAAUGUUCCAGCAUCUCAUAAUCUAUCCUGGGGAAUUCAGCUGCCUCCCAGGGUGAAUACAGGUAUUCCUGAUGACAGUCUGCCUCUAUCUUACAGAGCAGCUUGUUGCUAUAUACCAUUGAAAAGCCUUCAGAGCUGAGAGGUACUACUAACCAAUAACCUGCUUGGCUCAAAGGGCCAGCACCUUCUCUCUAAAGCCCAAGAGGAGUUUGAGGAAAACUAGGUGUCUGUGUUCACUCCAGGCUGAAGUUACAGGUCUGAGCAAAUAAGGUGUAUAAAAAAUGGAAUCUGUCUUGGAGGACAUCAGAAGGUGAAUUUUCCAAGUUCUUGGACAACCUAGCUGUUGAAAAGCUUUCUGGGUUUGGGGGGUAUUUCAGAUGUACCUUAAAGUGUUAGCAGACACAGAUUAAGACACUGGGAGCCAAUGAAACAGCAGUUGAGGGUUUGCUGUGUAUCACAUUUCUGUAUUUUAUCACCCCCUUCCUGCAACAUUAUUUAUCUGGAAUCUACCUGCCCUUUUGUUUUUUAGAUACAAGGGCUUGGUUUUGUUACCCAGGCUGGUUUCAAGGCCAUAGCUUUAAGAGAUCCUCUCACCACAGAUUUCCAAAGUGCUGGGAUUGCAGGUGUGAUUCAUGGCACCCAGACUUUGCUGCCUUUCUUACAUGAUCCAGGCCCAGAACCCAAACUCAGGCACUGUAUAGAUGACCACUUUCGUAAACUACUGACCUAGCUUGUUGCCAAUUGUUGAUUGAACUUCCCAUAACUCCACUUCGUGUCUGUUCCUCUGUAUACAGCCACCUUCUGUUCCCGUCAUGAGCCUUUAGGUCUCCAUUUGCAUAUUGCAAAUACUAUGUUCCAUGUAGGUAGCUCAUUCAGGGCCUUGCUCUUCACUUCAAAAAAGGUUCCCUUGAGGACUGGCUGUCAAUUUGUGUUGCUGUGUUGGUUGUUGAUGAAAAUAAUAAAAUGAUUGAUUACA